rnacentral:rRNA from 1 species
AUUGAACGCUGGCGGCAGGCCUAACACAUGCAAGUCGAACGGUAACAGGGAUCAGCUUGCUGAUUCGCUGGCGAGUGGCGGACGGGUGAGUAAUGUCUGGGAAACUGCCUGAUGGAGGGGGAUAACUACUGGAAACGGUAGCUAAUACCGCAUAACGUCGCAAGACCAAAGAGGGGGACCUUCGGGCCUCUUGCCAUCGGAUGUGCCCAGAUGGGAUUAGCUAGUAGGUGGGGUAACGGCUCACCUAGGCGACGAUCCCUAGCUGGUCUGAGAGGAUGACCAGCCACACUGGAACUGAGACACGGUCCAGACUCCUACGGGAGGCAGCAGUGGGGAAUAUUGCACAAAGGGCGCAAGCCUGAUGCAGCCAUGCCGCGUGUAUGAAGAAGGCCUUCGGGUUGUAAAGUACUUUCAGCGGGGAGGAAGGGGGUAAAGUUAAUACCUUUGCUCAUUGACGUUACCCGCAGAAGAAGCACCGGCUAACUCCGUG